UGGGGAAUAUUGCACAAUGGGCGCAAGCCUGAUGCAGCCAUGCCGCGUGUAUGAAGAAGGCCUUCGGGUUGUAAAGUACUUUCAGCGGGGAGGAAGGCGAUAAGGUUAAUAACCUUGUCGAUUGACGUUACCCGCAGAAGAAGCACCGGCUAACUCCGUGCCAGCAGCCGCGGUACUACGGAGGGUGCAAGCGUUAAUCGGAAUUACUGGGCGUAAAGCGCACGCAGGCGGUCUGUCAAGUCGGAUGUGAAAUCCCCGGGCUGAACCUGGGAACUGCAGUAGAAACUGGCAGGCUAGAGUCUUGUAGAGGGUGGUAGAAGUCCAGGUGUAGCGAUGAAAUGCGUAGUGAUCUGGAGGAAUACCGGUGGCGAAGGCGGCCCCCUGGACAAAGACUGACGCUCAGGUGCGAAAGCGUGGGGAGCAAACGGG
rnacentral:rRNA from 1 species